GUCUGAGCGCCAUUCGCUUAAUAAUGUGUGCUCAGACCUGAGCUAUCUGGGGAUAUGUAGAACGUAUAUGUUUUAUGUACUGAAUGUAACUGUAGGUAAUUUUAUGUCUUUUACUGUUUGUUUUCUGCCAUGUGGUUAAUGGAGGUUUGCCUCUGUCUUUGGAGAUAAUUGAAUUACUUCUCAAUUAUCUCCAGAGCAGAGAGGAGGGAUUGUGAUGCAUUGUGGGAUGGUUGAAAUGUGUAAGUCUGUGAUUGGUCCUUUUACCCUUUGUGUCACAGUCUCCCAUUUGGUCCCCUAGGGGAGUGUCCACCAGGUG